CAACCCUCAAGCCCCAGUUGCUUGGUGUUGGGAGCUUGCCCCUACGCAACUCCUGAAAGCUAUUGGCGGAGCCGCGUUGGCCCUAAGCGUAGUAAUUUUUCUCUCGCUUCAGGUGUCCCAGUGCUGGCGUCCUGCCGUAAAACCCCCAAUUUUACAAU
rnacentral:misc_RNA from 1 species